rnacentral:rRNA from 1 species
GACGAACGCUGGCGGCGUGCUUAACACAUGCAAGUCGAACGGAAAGGCCCUGCUUUUGUGGUGUGCUCGAGUGGCGAACGGGUGAGUAACACGUGAGUAACCUGCCCUUGACUUUGGGAUAACUUCCGGAAACUGGGGCUAAUACCGGAUAGGAGCUCCUGCUGCAUGGUGGGGGCUGGAAAGUUUCGGCGGUUGGGGAUGGACUGGGGGCUUAUCAGCGUGUGGGUGGGGUAGGGGCUGACCAAGGCUUUGACGGGUAGGCGGCCUGAGAGGGUGACCGGGCACAUGGGGACUGAGAGACGGCCCAGACGGCUACGGGAGGCAGCAGUGGGGAAUAUUGCACAAUGAGCGGGAGCCUGAUGCAGCGACGCCGGGUGCGGGAUGACGGCCUUCGGGUUGUAAACCGCUUUCGCCUAUGACGGAGCGUGAGUGACGGUAAUGGAUGAAGAAGCACCGGCUAACUACGUG